rnacentral:rRNA from 1 species
CAGUAGCCACGGGAAUAUGUAGGGUGCAAGCGUUAAUCGGAAUUACUGGGCGUAAAGCGUGCGCAGGCGGUUUGUUAAGACAGAUGUGAAAUCCCCGGGCUCAACCUGGGAACUGCAUUUGUGACUGGCAAGCUAGAGUGUGGCAGAGGGGGGUGGAAUUCCGCGUGUAGCAGUGAAAUGCGUAGAUAUGCGGAGGAACACCGAUGGCGAAGGCAGCCCCCUGGGCCAACACUGACGCUCAUGCACGAAAGCGUGGGGAGCAAACAGGAUUAGAUACCCCAGUAGUCCCUGUCUCUUAUAC